AAUACCGUGCUGGGUGUGUGUUCGGUUGUGGUGCAGAGUGAAGCCACAGGAGCUGAUGAUGUUGUAGGCCCUGAAGGCAUGGAGAAAUUUUGUGAAGACAUUGGUGUUGAACCAGAAAACAUGUGAUACAACAGAAAAACUCAGAAAUACUUUGGAUUACUUAAGAUCAUUCUUAAAUGAUUCUACAAACUUUAAACUUAUUUACAGAUAUGCGUUUGACUUUGCACGGGAAAAGGACCAGCGCAGCCUAGACAUAAACACUGCCAAGUGCAUGUUGGGACUGUUAUUAGGAAAAAUAUGGCCCCUUUUUCCAGUUUUUCACCAAUUCUUAGAGCAAUCAAAAUACAAAGUUAUUAAUAAAGACCAGUGGUGCAAUGUCCUAGAGUUUAGCAGAACAAUUAAUCUUGACCUCAGCAACUAUGAUGAAGAUGGAGCAUGGCCAGUUUUGUUGGACGAGUUUGUGGAGUGGUAUAAAGACAAACAGAUGUCCUAGGACUUUAUGCAUAGCAGCGAGAGAGUCACUGUUACCACAGUUUUGUCACCCAUUAGCC
rnacentral:sRNA from 1 species